rnacentral:rRNA from 1 species
UGGGGAAUUUUGGACAAUGGGCGAAAGCCUGAUCCAGCAAUGCCGCGUGUGUGAAGAAGGCCUUCGGGUUGUAAAGCACUUUUGUCCGGAAAGAAAUCCUUGGCUCUAAUACAGUCGGGGGAUGACGGUACCGGAAGAAUAAGCACCGGCUAACUACGUGCCAGCAGCCGCGGUAAUACGUAGGGUGCAAGCGUUAAUCGGAAUUACUGGGCGUAAAGCGUGCGCAGGCGGUUUGCUAAGACCGAUGUGAAAUCCCCGGGCUCAACCUGGGAACUGCAUUGGUGACUGGCAGGCUAGAGUAUGGCAGAGGGGGGUAGAAUUCCACGUGUAGCAGUGAAAUGCGUAGAGAUGUGGAGGAAUACCGAUGGCGAAGGCAGCCCCCUGGACCAAUACUGACGCUCAUGCACGAAAGCGUGGGGAGCAAACAGGAUUAGAUACCCUGGUAGUCCACGCCCUAAACGAUGUCAACUAGUUGUUGGGGAUUCAUUUCCUUAGUAACGUAGCUAACGCGUGAAGUUGACCGCCUGGGGAGUACGGUCGCAAGAUUAAAACUCAAAGGAAUUGACGGGGUCAUAGCUGUUUCC